GAUGAACGCUGGCGGCGCGCCUAAUACAUGCAAGUCGAGCGAACGGACGAGAAGCUUGCUUCUCUGAUGUUAGCGGCGGACGGGUGAGUAACACGUGGAUAACCUACCUAUAAGACUGGGAUAACUUCGGGAAACCGGAGCUAAUACCGGAUAAUAUUUUGAACCGCAUGGUUCAAAAGUGAAAGACGGUCUUGCUGUCACUUAUAGAUGGAUCCGCGCUGCAUUAGCUAGUUGGUAAGGUAACGGCUUACCAAGGCAACGAUGCAUAGCCGACCUGAGAGGGUGAUCGGCCACACUGGAACUGAGACACGGUCCAGACUCCUACGGGAGGCAGCAGUAGGGAAUCUUCCGCAAUGGGCGAAAGCCUGACGGAGCAACGCCGCGUGAGUGAUGAAGGUCCUCGGAUCGUAAAACUCUGUUAUUAGGGAAGAACAUAUGUGUAAGUAACUGUGCACAUCUUGACGGUACCUAAUCAGAAAGCCACGGCUAACUACGUG
rnacentral:rRNA from 1 species